GCGUGGUCAAAAGUACUGUAACACAUGACUCUUAAUCAGCGGGUCCGGGGUUCGAAACCCUGACGGCGCACCA
rnacentral:tRNA from 1 species